UGGGGAAUUUUGGACAAUGGGGGAAACCCUGAUCCAGCCAUCCCGCGUGUGCGAUGAAGGCCUUCGUGUUGUAAAGCACUUUUGGCAGGAAAGAAACGUCAUGGGUUAAUACCCCGUGAAACUGACGGUACCUGCAGAAUAAGCACCGGCUAACUACGUGCCAGCAGCCGCGGUAAUACGUAGGGUGCAAGCGUUAAUCGGAAUUACUGGGCGUAAAGCGUGCGCAGGCGGUUCGGAAAGAAAGAUGUGAAAUCCCAGAGCUCAACUUUGGAACUGCAUUUUUAACUACCGGGCUAGAGUGUGUCAGAGGGAGGUGGAAUUCCGCGUGUAGCAGUGAAAUGCGUAGAUAUGCGGAGGAACACCGAUGGCGAAGGCAGCCUCCUGGGAUAACACUGACGCUCAUGCACGAAAGCGUGGGGAGCAAACAGG
rnacentral:rRNA from 1 species